GUUCGGAAUCGCAGGCAAUGGAGCCGAGCCCCUCGUCUCCGGUUAGUACUUCCUUCCCCGCGCGGGACUCUCUCCCCCCACCCACGGGGCCAUCGUGGGUGCUGCUACCUGUCGUCCGCGCCCGCCGCUCACAGGCCUCCUGCGGCAUCCCCGCCGGCAGCCUGGCCUUGUUUGCUUGCUGUCCCGAGCAGCGUAGCUAGUGUGCCUGGGGCGCUCAAGCGGCGAGGGGAGGGAGAGGACACGCAGGGGACAGGCUCUUGUGCCCGAGUGGAACCUACGAGCGCGGACACCCACGCGUGGCGGCCAGCGCUGAAGGUAACUCUAUACCCUCUCCCCCCAGCUCUUUCCCGGCGACGUGCUGUCCCUGCUGGAGACCUGGAUGCCCCUCUCGCCCCUGGAGUGGCCACCGGCCUGAGUCGAAGUGACGACGUACAAUUGGCGCCCUGUGAGCAUCGAGGCCCUUUUGGCUUUCAGCACCUUCAAAACGGCCCCUCUCCAGACUCCCUUUCCUAGGAGAGGGCACCUGCGAUACUGGCAUGGGCAUUCCUGAGAGCGAGAGCCCGUCCCCACCCAAGACAACUCUCCCCAGCCCCUCCGGCAAUGGAGGAACCCAUAGGUUGACCCUUGGAGGCAGGCAGGGGGCGCCUGCCUACUAUGUAUUUAUUUAUUUGUGAAUAAACUGUGCUGGUGUCAGUUGACCGUUUCUUCUUCCUUCGCAUGGACACAAAGCUCCCUCCCCUUCUCCAAAGAAGAACCUAGGAGAA
rnacentral:lncRNA from 1 species